rnacentral:rRNA from 1 species
AUCUGCCCUGCACUCUGGGAUAAGCCCGGGAAACUGGGUCUAAUACCGGAUACGACACUCCGAGGCAUCUUGGAGUGUGGAAAGUUCCGGCGGAGCGGAUGAGCCCGCGGCCUAUCAGCUUGUUGGUGGGGUAAUGGUCUACCAAGGCGACGACGGGUAGCCGGCCUGAGAGGGUGACCGGCCACACUGGGACUGAGACACGGCCCAGACUCCUACGGGAGGCAGCAGUGGGGGAAUAUUGCACAAUGGGCGAAAGCCUGAUGCAGCGACGCCGCGUGAGGGAUGACGGCCUUCGGGUUGUAAACCUCUUUCAGCAGGGAAGAAGCGAAAGUGACGGUACCUGCAGAAGAAUCACCGGCUAACUACAUGCCAGCAGCCGCGGUAAUACGUAGGGUGCGAGCGUUGUCCGGAAUUAUUGGGCGUAAAUAGCUCUUACGCGGUUUGUCGCGUCGAUUGUGAAAGCCCAGGGAUUAACCCUGGGUCUGCAGUCUAUACGGGCAGGCUA